GGCCUAUUAGCUCAGUUGGUUAGAGCGUCGUGCUAAUAACGCGAAGGUCACAGGUUCGAUCCUGUAUAGGCCA
rfam:Brassica rapa chromosome A4, whole genome shotgun sequence.